rnacentral:misc_RNA from 1 species
AAGCAAACCCUUAUAUCCCAUCUGUCUCUUUCCUUCCUCUCUCUCUCUCUCUAACCUAAUUUCCCAUCAAAACCAUCAACUUUUGUGGCUCCAUGCCAGAGAGUUAGAGAGAGAAAGCUCAGGCACAUGCACCUUCCCCUGGAUACUAUCUAUUGGAUAAAACAGGUGCUGUAGACGAUUCAGCUUUGAGGAAGAGAGAUAAGAUGCGCAGGUGGCUCUGUUGUACAUGUCAGGUAGAAGAAUCAUAUCCAUCACACGAAAAUGAGCAACUAAGAAGCCCAAAAAGCUACACAGAUGGGAACCCUGUGAAAGGCUCGAAGGUAUCAGCUCCUGUCAAAGCUGAAGUUCAGAAGGAAGCACCUCCAAUUGAAGUGCCUGCGUUGUCUUUAGAUGAACUGAAAGAGAAGACUGACAAUUUCGGUUCAAAGGCAUUGAUUGGUGAAGGAUCGUAUGGAAGAGUAUAUUAUGCUAACUUAGAUAAUGGGAAAGCUGUUGCCGUAAAAAAACUUGAUACAGCAUCUGAGCAAGAAUCAAAUGUUGAAUUUUUGACUCAGGUUUCCAUGGUUUCAAAAUUGAAGCAUGAAAAUGUUGUUGAGUUGCUUGGUUACUGUGUGGAAGGAAAUCUUCGAGUGCUUGCUUAUGAAUUUGCAACAAUGGGUUCUCUCCAUGACAUAUUGCAUGGUAGAAAAGGAGUUCAAGGGGCACAACCAGGUCCUACUCUUGACUGGAUGCAGCGUGUGAGAAUUGC